UCCAUCCAUUAUAGUAAGGAUGGACUUUUACCAUCUUUUGUAUCAAUCUUGACAAUGAUGACUAAAGAUGACGAGCCUGAAUUCUGUUGAUGAACAUGAGGCAUUUGUCUGAGUCAAUUAUAUUUUUACUGAAUAACAUACUUAAUUUUACGAUAAUGUAGUUUGAAUGUUUAAGUACAUAAAAUUCUGUUAAAUAAUGUCUCAUCAAACUAAUACAACUCCCUGCCAAAAGUAUUAGACCACCCUUCAAAAAUAUUGAUUGUGUUUUAACAUUAGAAAGAAGCUUAAAUCAUUUGCACGUGAAACAAAAAUAUUAUACCACACUUGUGUAGGGCCACCUAUGGCUUUAAUUAAAGCUUCAAUUUAUUUUGGAAUUUGAUAUACAAGAUAUUGACUCACUUGGUGUAAUUUCAUUCUCAACAUAUGUUUAUAGCCAAUAUGGUUUUAUAGAUCUGCCAGAACAAUGUUGAUUUUUGAUACAUCCAGAUAACUUAAAUUUCUUUUUCUGAUGUUAAAUUUCUAUUGUGUGAUUUUUUUCUGUUAAAUGAAUAUUGAAUUUUAAAGGGAAAAAUACAGGAAACUUAUAAAAUGUAAUUAAAAUUGUUGUUGAUUUUGUAGUUUUGAUUGCAUAUAUUUUUUAAGUAAUCUAAUACUUGGCAGAGAGGGGGUUGUAGAUUUUACGUACUCUUAAGUUUUUUAUAACAAAAUCAGGAUCAGUAAAAAAUUCAAGUAGAUUUGCAUAUGGUAAUUUAAAAAUUUGAAUAUGCAUAUUUUCAAAACAAUCAAGUAAAUUAUUUUUAAAUUAAUUCAAAAAUUUCUUUUGUUCAGGAAUUUGGCCAGUGAAGAAUACAUUGAGUGUAAAUAUGUUAUGGGUUAUUCUGCAUCAUGUUUGAAGAUCAAAUGCUUGUAUUAUGGAAAAAUACAAGAUUCUACAUAUUUAUGGAAUACAUAAAAGGUGCAUAUUAAACAAUGGAUGACAUUUAAUUUUUAAAAUCUGGAUAUCAGAUACAAGAAGAACUAAUUAAUAAAACUGAAAAUAAUUAGUAAGUAAACAUUUUUGUGAACUAUUCUUAAUGUUUGCAUGAUAUUGAGAAAUAUCAAACUGCAGAAAAAAAUCUUUCAAAGGCUUAAUUAACUUCACGUAAUAAAGAAUAUAAUUAGUAUAAAAUUUUAUUUUUUUUUAAUUGUAAUUUAGUCUAUACAGUCCUUAAAAAUGAUCAUUAUGAUGACUAAAAGAUGACGAAUCUGAUAGCUGUGAUGUUUAUCGAGGCAUUUGUCUGAAAUAGUUUUUUGAAUAUAACUAUUUCGUUUGAAAUUAUAUAAUAUAUUAAUUAGUUUGGCUUUAAUUUCAGGUAUUAAAUGUGCUGAUUGUACAGGAUAAUUGAUUUUGUAAGUAGUAACAUUUAAUUCUACUAAAGUUUUGAAUUUUAGAAAU